rnacentral:lncRNA from 1 species
GCGGGGGGGACAGGCUGACGCGUCGCCUCUGGGAGAACCGGGAGACCCGCGGCGAGCAGAGUUGAGGACCGGCCAGCGGGGCGUCCCGGGCUAGACCUGGGAGAUGUCCGAGUGACUGGGGGAGCCCCGGCCGUGCAAGGUGAGAACUCAGAGAAGCGGGCGGAAGGCCAGGCGGGUGACCGGCGGGACCUUCCCAGAGCCCAGCGCACCUGGGAACAGGCGGCGUUGAGGUGGCAGCUGGGUCAGGGUGCCUCCGACCGCGGACACCCACUGCUGAGCACGGAGACAUUCCUUCUGAAGAACCAGGAAAGCGGUGCCAGUUUGCGAGAGGGGCGGAACUAACUUCCAGCCAGGGCCCGCUGUGCGCCAGGCACCGAGCUGAGCGCUCGGAUAAGGAGUGCGCGGCGGCGAAGGCAGUCAAGAGUGAUCUUUCCAGACGUUUGGCAAUGAGCCGGAGAGGCCUGUAGUUCAAGAGGUAGUAAAAGUAAAGGAGACAGGUGAUUUCUUUCUCUUUCCCCCACCCCAGCCCCCUCACCCAGCAUGAGGUGGCGCUCUCAAAAGAGCUGGGGGGGCGGGGGGAUAAGAGAUGGGGUAAUUAACGGCGCAAGAUCGCAGAAAAGGAAAAUGAGGAAGGGGUGGUGGAGAGGGAGGAAGAAAUCAGAGAAGGGACACACCUCUUCCUACAAGACUUCAAGGAUGCAUGCAUAAACAGAAAUCUUUUGAGAUGGGGAGGAGGCCUACUGAGCCCUGCAUGUUUCCAUGCAUCAGCUGCCUAGAUGACCCUAAAGUCAUCCAUAGGCCUUCUGAGGUUACUGCCCUUUCAGACUUCAGCGCAACUGGCUCAGAUCCCUGUUCCUCUUAAAGUGGGAAACCCUGCCUACCUGCCAACAUUUCCAAUUCUCCUAAUUAUCCUAUUGCUCCAAUUAUUUCUCCUAAUUUACAGUUCUCGUAAUUAUCCUAUUGGCCCCAAUUUUCUAUUCCCAGUAUUCCACUGUGCGCUUUUAGGAAAUUUGUCACUAUAGCCUGGAUACCACCCCAUCUAUAUUCCCCCCAAAUAUAGCACCAUAUGUGAAAACAAAGCACCCAGUGUUAUAUGACUGUUAAAUAAAUUAUGGUUUAUUUGUAACCAUUAAAAAAUCAUGUUGAAGAAAAAGAUCGAUGAUACGGAAAAUAUCAGCAAUUGAAAAGCACCUCAUAAGAUAAUACUAGCUUGUAAUAUAUACAUGUACUAUGCAUAUCACGUAUAGAUAUCAUGCUAGAUUAAAAAAAUGGGAUUUUUAUUUUCUGUGAUGUCUUCUUUUUCUUGUUUUUACAGUACAUUACUAUUUCUCUUUAAAUCAGGAAAAAUGAUAUUUUAAAGCAUUUUUAAGAAAGUUUUUUUUUUUUUUUAAGAUCUUUGCGGAGUUGAAAAGAGUUAUUAGAAAUCAAGAAAGGAGGGGAGCCUGGCUGGCUCAAUCGGUAGAGUAUGUGACUAUCCAUCUGAGGGUCAUGAGUUCAAGCCCUACCUUGGGCAUGGAGCCUACUUUAAAAAAAUGAAAAGAGGAAUCAAGGAGAUUGGAAAGGGAUCUUUGAAGGAUGGAAGGGACUUAGGUCAGCACUGAUGGGCUAGUUGAGGAGGCUGCCUUAGGCAGGAGGGACACAAAGUGAGAACUGGAGGGAAUAGUCCAGUAACAGUAGCAGGUCAGUUUGGUUGAAGCAUAGGAUUCAAGGGAGAGAAAAGUAGGAGACCCAGUCUGGAAAAAUAAGAUGGGACCGUAGUCCUAAAUGCCAAGCUGAACCCUUUGUGAUUUGUGGCUGGCAAGAACCACUGGCCCUUGAGCUGUGCAGGUGAUAAAUGUCAAAGUAAAUUUUCCUGUAACCUCUUACUUAAUGAGGUUCUGGAUCUCAGCCCUUCUAUCGUAAUGAUAGUUGGACAUGUGAUUGACUCAGAGCAGUGAGGCAGGGGCAACCGUAUUUUGCAUUCCAGCUGCUUACAGAAUGAGAAUUGGCCCUUGCUUCUCUGCCUGUUAAUCACUACAAUUUUUAUUCACAAGGCACCAGAUUUUCAGAGAGAACAGAUUAGCAAAGAGCGAAGCUGAAAGGAAGAAAUGUGCACCUUAAACCAGGGCUUUAAAAAAAAAAGUUUUUUAGAACUUUCUGUGAGUUCCACAGAUAAAUGAGAUCACACAGUAUUUAUCUUUUUCUCUGACUUAUUUCACUUAGCAUAAUGCCCUCAAGGUCCAUCCAUGUUGUCACAAAUGAUAGUAUUUCCUUCUCAUAUUGCUGAAUAAUGUUCUUUGCCAACGUUUUUGACUCUGACCUUCUAUACGAAAUAUAUUUCACAUCUCAACCCAGAAUAUACACACACACGUACACACCUCCGAGAAGUUUCAUGAAGUAUUACUGUUACUUUAUGCACUGCUGGCUGAGACUUUCAACUUCAUGAUUUUUAUUUCUUUUGAAAUACCAGUCAGAACCUACUACAUUGAUUUUAUAACCCACUAUAGGGUUACAAAAUGCUUCAAAGGAUGUUGAAAAGAGGCUAGACUAUUCCCUGCUAUGUUUGCAGUUCUCAUUUAACUAGCCAUACAGACUGUGACCUUAAGUUUGCCAUGUUUACAUGUCCCAGAAAUCAACAGGACAGGUGAGACUCUCGGGAUGUGGUGGGGGUGGGGAUAGAAGGAUUGGCACAAGCCAUGUUUGUAUUCCUCUUCCCUUCUUAGCAAAUAUUUCCUGACACCAGCAUCUCUCAGCAGCUGUAAAUGUGUUCUUCUUUGUCUAGCUUGAGAUACAGAUUGAACUUCAGACAAGGCCGGACUACCGUGUAAACCAGAGACAACUUUUCAUUUGAAUGAACAGAAUCACAGACUACAAUGAAAGGGGGAAAAAAAUGUAUCUUGACUGUGACAGUCCAUAGAAGCUGUCUUACCACUGUUGGAAUAUCAUAGAGACAGUAAGUACCACCCCUUUCUUCAAAGUCCAGAACCAAUGAGGAGAUGAAAAUAACUCCAUCACCAACAGAGCUGAACUGAAGAAUGUGGCUUAGCUGAUGACCCGUAGGCUUUUUAAGAUUCCCUGAAUUAAAAUUCUCUCCCCCAAAACUCCAACCUUCACCUUGAGGGGGCCUAGCCGCUUUAACUGUGUCUGCUUAGAGAAGAUUGCACUCUCUGAGGGCAGGCAGAUCCAAAUUCACCAAUUAGAUAAGUCGCUCCUUCUGGAACACCCAGGAUACAUUCUCUCCUACCUGACCUCCUAUGAAAACAAACAAGCAAACAAAGUUGGGGAAUAAGGAUUUAUCCCUGCCCAAACAAACUGGAUCUGAUUCAUUAGUUUGGCAGUUGAAUGGGAAAGUGUAUUAACUCAGCGAAUUAUAAAAAAUGGCAAAUACAUGCCUUAACAUUUCAUUUUCACUUAAAACCUAUAAGGAACACCCAUUUGCCAAUCUUUUGAUGUGAGCCAAACAUUUUCUUUGAGGAACAGUGCUGAUUACAGUUUUCUUGAGCCCUAUCUCACAUAAAACCUAUCUGUGGUAUAUUUUCUGUGCUUUCCAAUUUGUUUCUUUAAUGUUGACUAAGGACUUGGGAUGCCUGGGUGGCUCGAUCUGUUAAGCGUCUGACUUCUGCUCAGAUCAUGAUCUCACAGUUCAUGGGUUUGAGCCCUGCCUUGGGCUCUGUACGGACAGCUCAGAAUCUGGAGCCUGCUUCAGAUUCUGUCUCUCCCUCUCUCUCUCUCUGUCCCUCCCCUGCCCCUCUCUCUCUCUCUCUCUCCCUCUCUCUCAAAAAUAGAUAAACAUUAAGAAAUAUUUUAAAGUUGCCUAAGGACUUAAAACAUCUUGAAAAGCAAUAUCAGAUUGCUUUUCAAAGCCACUAAGGCCAAAAAGAUGGAGGCUUCUUCUUUAAAAAAAAAAAUCCUUUGUAAUUGUCUCACCCACACCUGGUUUGACAGUUUUUAAUUUAUUUUUUUUUCAACGUUUAUUUAUUUUUGGGACAGAGAGAGACAGAGCAUGAACGGGGGAGGGGCAGAGAGAGAGGGAGACACAGAAUCGGAAACAGGCCCCAGGCUCCGAGCCAUCAGCCCAGAGCCUGACGCGGGGCUCGAACUCCCGGACCGCGAGAUCGUGACCUGGCUGAAGUCGGACGCUUAACCGACUGCGCCACCCAGGCGCCCCCGGUUUGACAGUUUUCAACUGGUCAUUAGCUAAACCUUCAACUGACAUUUCAUAGAAACAACUCUUUCUCUUUAUACACAUGCUUCAUCAGUUUGUGUAACUUAAAUUAAUUACACUCUGGCAUACAGUUGUCAUAAGCAAGUUUGGGACCAAACACAACAGACUCCCAUUAGGCAUCUAACUCAACUAGUAAGAAGAAGUGUGUUGGAAUUCCACAGAUGAACUCAUUAAUCCAAAGCGUUCAGCAGGUCACAGGUAGUAGUCAUUAUGUUUAAUCAGAGGGAAUGGAACGUGUUGAUUCCAGAGAGUCCAUUAAGAGAGCCAUUAAUGCUCAUAGACCAGUAUGACCGACUCUGUAUGCGUAUACCUUAACAUUCUUCUUCCGUCACAGAUCCAUUUUAUAAUCCCCUCAAAAUCACUGUCCCUCCACUCCCAUUUGGCUAAACAUGGCUUUAAAUGGUUUAAGAUUGGAAUGGCUAUCAAAGAAAUUCAAAUGGUAACAUCACAUAAUGCAUUAGCAAAAUAUAUGUAUCUUAAACACUUUCCAGUGCUAAUAAGAUGGUGUGAUUGUAUUCAGAAAAAGCUGUUGCAAUGUGAAUUGGUAUAAUCCUUUUAAGAAGCAGUUGACACUACUUCUGAAGAGCCUUAAAAGAGAUAUGGCUCCCUUUUGAUUCAUCAAUACCACUCCUAGAAACUUUUCCUUGGGAAGUAAUCCUCCCCCAAAGAGAACGUCCACACUCACAAUAUGUGCUACUGCCUUUUUGUGAUAGUGAAAGUUGAAGUAAUUUACGGUGUGUAACAUUGUGUAACUUACCACUGAGUAAGCAGAAAGGGGUAACUUGGAAAACACUUAAUGACAUAUUAUUUGGAAAAAAGAUACAAUUUGUUCUACCAUACUAAGAACCUGAAACAGAAUUGUAUACUUUAACCGGGUGAAUUCUGUGAAUCAUAUCUCAACUUUUUAAAAAAGAUACAAUUCUGUAUUUUUGCUUUUGUAUCAGCCAAGAUCAGCAGGAAACAGAUGGCCUACUCUGAAAUGUGUAACUGAAGAGAGUUAAUGAAGGGACAGUGUGCAAAGAUGUGGGCACGUUUGAGGGAAGCCAACAAGGGGUAAUGAAGCACCCCAGGGCUAGCAAAGAGAGGAAACCCAGGGCUCAGUGAGAACAAUAGCUGAUGGAAAGGGAAGGCCAAUAGGAACGUACAGGAAUACAGCCCUACCCCUGUCUCUCUCUUGCCCUCAGAUCUCCUGUGCUGCCUCCCACUGGCUGAACCCGAGAGGAAGCCUAAGGGCAAGUGAGCCCUGAUGACGUUGUCCUUCAAGGCCAGCCUCCGGAAAAUGAUGGAGGGUAGAUCUGGAAGGACAAAGGCACAAUAUCUAGCAGGUAUGUGAUCCUAUAACAACGUAAGAACUGUCUAAGCAUAUGGCCAAGGAUCUUAAGGGAACCCAGAAAACCAAGGUUUCCAGAGAUAAAAAGUGAAGGUAGCUAGAGAGCAGGGAGGGUAGGUGGAGGGAAGAGGAAAGGUUGUUAACUGAGGCUGAGACAAGGAUGAGAGGCAGAAGCAGGCACAUCUUAUUUUAUUUUAUUUUAUUUUUUUGCCAAAUACUUAGCUGGAGACUGAGCUCUGGAAGAGAUUAAAAGGAGAGACAGGAGCUAAAUUAGACUAGAGUGCUGGAAAUUCUUCCCCUAUUGGCUAUUACCCUGUAUUUCUCCUUCCUAGCUAAACUCCAUGCCUUCAACAAAUAAUUGUUUAGUACCCAUCAUGUGCCGGGAACUGUUAGGCCCUGGGGAUUGAGGAGGGAACAAAAUUAACAUCCUUGCUCUCCUGCAGUUUACAUCCUGGUGGGGAGGAAAACAGACCAUAGAUAAGUAAAUAUGUCACGAGUGUAAGUGUUAUAAAGAAAAACAUGGAAGAGCAGGGAAAUAAAAUUCUGCCCAUUCCACAUCUUAAAAACCUCUUGGUUUAGACCACACAUGCCCCUCCACACACACCAGAGCUCCUGAGUUUAUUAAGCCGUGCACAUCUCUCACCUGGACAAAGAUCGUGACACCUUCCUGCCCCCAGCACCUUCCAAGCAGUCCUCCGCUCUGCCGUGAGAAUCUUCCUGAAAUGAAUCACGUCAGUAUCCUGCUUAAAACCCUCCAAGGCUCCUGUUUGCUUACAAUGUGGAAAACCAUCUCACCUCCUUACGACGACGGACCUUUUUGAACCUUCUCGGUCCUUCACGCACCUCUCCCUCUCCCGCUCUCCUUUUCUACCCACACUAAUUGUCUGUAGUUUACUGGCCACGCCACACUGUCUCUCAUUCCCAUAUCUUUGUUCAUGCUGCUCUUUCCACUUACAAUGCCCUGCCAUGCCCUCCACCUUCUCCCAAAUUUGGCAACCCUGUCCUGAUUCUUUUAACCCCAUUAGCUGUCACGUCUUUGGUCAAACUUCUCUGCCCUUCCCAGGUGUGAGGGAGCAUCUCCUAGCUCCCUCCUUCAUGUUAUCAGUGUAUCUUAUAGGUACCUAUGAAUAUAUUUAUUAUACCAUAUAAUCUUAUUUGUUAGACUUCAAGAUGCUUUGGUUUAGGGGCGCCUGGGUGGCGCAGUCAGUUAAGCGUCCGACUUCAGCCAGGUCACGAUCUCGCAGUCCGUGAGUUCGAGCCCCGCGUCGGGCUCUGGGCUGAUGGCUCAGAGCCUGGAGCCUGUUUCCGAUUCUGUGUCUCCCUCUCUCUCUGCCCCUCCCCCGUUCAUGCUCUGUCUCUCUCUGUCCCAAAAAUAAAUAAACGUUGAAAAAAAAAAAAAAAAGAUGCUUUGUUUUAAAUAUAAUCCGGGGCGCCUGGGUGGCGCAGUCGGUUAAGCGUCCGACUUCAGCCAGGUCACGAUCUCGCGGUCCGUGAGUUCGAGCCCCGCGUCGGGCUCUGGGCUGAUGGCUCAGAGCCUGGAGCCUGUUUCCGAUUCUGUGUCUCCCUCUCUCUCUGCCCCUCCCCCGUUCAUGCUCUGUCUCUCUCUGUCCCAAAAAUAAAUAAACGUUGAAAAAAAAAAUUUAAAUAUAAUCCAUGGGUCGAACCCCUUCAUUGGUUCGUGCCUGACCCUCUUUUGUUACUGAUCAUCCACUGUAAAAGUUAGAAUUGACAACUUACACAUAUCCCCCCCCCAAACCCAACGGUUAAUCUUGUGUUUAUUAUUUUCUUGCUCCUAAAAAUAGUUUUAUCUAGAAAAUAAAUAUAUUAUCAAAAAUUAAUUUUAAAAAUUACCCUGACUCUGAUAUCAUGUCUAUGUGAAAUCUAAAAAACAAUAGAUGAACAGGGGCGCCUGGGUGCCUCAGUCGGUUAAGCAUCCAACUUCGGCUCAGGUCGUGAUCUCAUAGUUUGCGAGUUCGAGCCCCACGUUGGGCUCUGUGCUGACGGCUCAGAGCCUGGCGCCUGCUUCAGAUUCUGUGUCUCCCCCUCUCUCUGCCCCUCCCCUGCUCAUGCUCUGUGUCUCUCUGUCUCUCAAGAAUAAGUAAAUGUUUAAAAAAAUUAUUUAAAAAAAUAGAUGAACAAACAAAAAGCAGAAACAGACCCCUAAAUAUAGAGAAGGAACCAGUGGUUGUCAGUAGGGCGGGGGGAGGAAGAUGGGCAAAAUAGAUGAAGGGGAGAGAGAGGGCCAGGCUUUCAGCUGCGGGAUGAAUAAGUCAUGGGGACGAAAGGGACAUAGUCAAUGGCAUUGUAAUAGCCUUGUGUGGUGACAGAUGGUAGCUGCAUAUUUGUGCCGAGCGGAGUGAAGUAUAGAGCUGUUGAAUCACUAUGUUGUCCACCUGAAAUUAAUUUAACACGGUGCACCAGCUACACUUCAAUUUUAAAAAUCACCCCAGCUUUAUAAAAAUUUAAAGUUAAAAAGUCUUGCUUUUUACAAAGGUUGAAGGGCGCCUGGAUGGCUCAGUCAGUUAAGCAUCCAACUUCGGCUCAGGUCAUGAUCUUACGGCUCUUGCGUUCCAGCCCCUCCUCAGGCUCCCUCUUGUCAACAUGGAGCCUGCUUCGGAUCCUCUGUCUCCCCCUCUCUCUUUCAAAACUAAAUAAACAUUAAAAACAUUUUUUAAAGUUGAGAUUGAAUGUGUUUAUAUAUACUUAACAGCUAUAUAUAUUUCCUCUUGUGAAAUAUCUGUUCGUAUCUUUCUGCCCAUUUUCUUUUUUUUUUUUUUUUUGUCCUUUUCUCAUUAACUUUCCGGAUUUCCUGAUGUGUUCUUUUAAUAAUCCUUUGCGGUUUUUUUCCCCCUUAGAAUUCAAGUACACAGAACAAGUUUAAUUUCUAGAAAUUUAUGUCUAUAUAUUUACAUAAACACUUAAAUCUAUAUUUUUGUGUAUGCAAACCUGCAUGCAUAUUCCCAAAACAUGUAUUUUAGUUAUUUACUUUUUUUAAUUUUUAAAAAUGUUUAUUUAUUUUGAGAGAGAGAGAGACAGAGACAGAGCGCAAGCGGGGGAGGGGCAGAGAGAGCGGGAGACACAGAAUCCGAAGCAGGCCCCAGGCUCCAAGCUGUCAGCACAGAGCCCCAUGCGGUGCUUGAACCCACAAACCCUGAGAUCAUGACCUGAGCCACCCUGGUGCCCCUAGUUGGUUUCUUCAUUAAAGAGCAUUGUGCCCUACAUAAUAUCCUGGGACUUCUUUUUCACUUUCCGUGUUAUUUUGUUAAGAUUUAUCUGGGCCUGCUGCAUGUAACCGAGUUUAUUUGCAUUGUGGCCGCUGUAGAUUGUUCUGGAGUGUGAAUAUACUAGUAUGACUUUGCCUCUCGAUGCAGAGGCUCUUGGCACCCUGUGUUCUUCCCCUUGGCCCGUCUCAGGUCUUAGGCAAACAUGUGGUGGCCAGUUUCGUGAGCUCCCAACACUGACAAUUCCCGAUGCGAGCGUUAGGCCUUGGGUGUCUCUAGUUUCUGCUUCAGGCCCUUCUGUGCCACAAGAGCCUUCUCGGCAGCCCGGCAGGCGCAGCCUGAAAGUGAGGAGAGCUAACCCUCGACCAAAGGGGGAUGUGAGCCAAGAGAUAAAUGCCCCAGGCUCCCAUCCUUCGGAUGAACAAUUCUGGGAGGCAUUCUGUACACCUCUCAGAGGCGUCCGUGGAAUCUCAUGCCCCGUGUCAGCCUCCCUUCCUGCUCUGCCUCACCCUUCUUUCCUUCCCUCCCGAGGCCCGAGGCCCGAGAUCACUUCCCAGAUAAACAACCUGCACCCGAGUCCUCGACCCCAUCUUUGCUUUUGAGGAACGCAAGCUAAUACAACCGAUGCUCUGAUCAUGGACGUUCGCGUUGUUGCAGGUUUUUGCUUUCGCAAAAGUGCUGCCAAGAAGAUGUGUGUAAAACCCACGGGUGCACAAGUGCAGGAACUUCUCUUGUGUAUUUAUGUAAAGUAGAAAUGCUGGGUCAAAGGCUAAAGUCAACUUUCAACUCUGCAGUUUCAAUUCCAAACUGUUUACCAAAGUGCUUUUUACCGAUUCACAGUUUCAGCGUCAUCUAUGGGAGCCCAUUGUUCCCCCACAUCCUCGCCAACACUUGGGAUUGUCAGAUUUCUUAAUCUUCACCACCCAAGUGGAUAUCAAAUGGAAUCGCGUUGCGGUCUCAAUUUUUACUUCUUGACGAUUCAUGAGAUUGAACCUGUCUUCAUAUAUUUAUUGACCAUAAAUGUUUCAUCUUCCGGGAAAUGUCUAUUGUGCCCACUUUUCUACUGGUUGGUUGUCCCUUCCUCCUUAAUUUUACUAAUUCUUUUUUUGUUUUGUUUGUUUUUAUCUGCUGACGUAAUCUCUACUCCCAACGUGGGACUCGAACUCACAAUCCUGAGAUCGAGAGCCACACGUGCCACAGGCUGAGCCAGCCAGGUGCCCCUAAUCUUACUAAUUCUUGGACAGUUACAGUCCCCACCUUGGCACUCAGGUGCUCCCAAUUGAAUUAAUCAUAGUCUUUACCUGAUAAGACCUUUUUCCUGGUUACAAAAUUAAGGCAUGCUUGUUGGAAAAGAAACAUGUAAAGAAUACAGACACGUUGAGCUUAGAGAAAGUCUGCUUUGUAUUGGCUCCACCCCACCUCUAAGUGGGAAUAACUCCCACAAAUGUGUCAUGCCUUAUUUUGGGGACUUUGUUUUCACAUAUGUCUCCCAAACUAGACAGUUUCCCACAAGUAAGGACUCUGUUGUAGUCAUCGCUGUAUUCUCAGCCCCAGGCAAAGUCCUGGCUUAGAUCGGGAAUGUAACACAUCCUCGUCGGAGGAGCUGCCGAAAGGUGUGUUCGAACAGAAGUUUUAAAGGUACAAGACUGCAGCUUGGCUGGACAGAUGAUUCAAGUCGGAGAAAAAUGGAAGGGAGGCACUGGUAAAAUGUCCUGGGGUUUGAUUACUUAAAGUCUCAGCCGUUGGGCCGAAGUGUUUGAUUCUUAUCUUGGAGGCAGUCAGCUGAGGAAGCACUCAAGGCUUCUUCAGGUGCAGGGAAGUUAUUUGUUCUUAGGUUUUUAUCAGCGGCAGAAUUAAAACAUUGACAAUCGGGGGCGCCUGGGUGGCGCAGUCGGUUAAGCGUCCGACUUCAGCCAGGUCACGAUCUCGCGGUCCGUGAGUUCGAGCCCCGCGUCAGGCUCUGGGCUGAUGGCUCAGAGCCUGGAGCCUGUUUCCGAUUCUGUGUCUCCCUCUCUCUCUGCCCCUCGCCCGUUCAUGCUCUGUCUCUCUCUGUCCCAAAAAUAAAUAAACGUUGAAAAAAAAAAUUUAAAAAAAACAAACAUUGACAAUCGAGUCAUCUAACGGCAGUGCACCGGACAUAAGGGAGGAGUUUGGGGAAAAUAAAACCAAAGACAGAGAAAUGAAUGAAUCAAGAAGUUAUGAACUUUUUUUGGCGGGGGGGGGGACAAAGACUCCUAUGAAAAAUUCACGAAAACUACACCUUCUUUCANGUCCGUGGGUUCGAGCCCCGCGUCGGGCUCUGUGCUGACAGCUCAGAGCCUGGAGCCUGUUUCGGAUUCUGUGUCUCCCUCCCUCUGUGACCCUCCCCCGUUCAUGCUCUGUCUCUCUCUGUCUCAAAAAUAAAUAAACGUUAAAAAAAAAUUAAAAAAAAAUAAGAUUUUAUUUUUAAGUAAUCUCCACAUCCAAUGUUGGGCUUGAACUCACAACCCCAAGAUCAAAAGUCGCACGCUUCACCAACUGAGCCAGCCAGGUGCCCCUGGCCCCUGCACUUUAUAAGAACCUUUGAUCAGUGGGUGAUUUUUUUUUUUUAAUGUUUAUCUAUUUUUGAGGGGGGAGGGACCAGGGAGUGGGGAGAGAGAAUCUGAAGCGGGUUCCACGAGGAUAGCGCCGAGCCCGAAGCGGGACCGAAUGGAACUCACGAACUGUGAUACCAUGACCUGAGCUGAAGUCGGAUGCUUCACUGAUGGAGCCACCCAGGCGCCCGAUGAUUAGUUGGUAUUCUCAGAGCGAAAGAUUAAGAACCUGAACCAUGGCGACAGUAUGUGUCCAUUCAUUGAAACGUGGUGGUCCGUCUCCUACCAUAUGCGAGGCACCGUCUCCUACCAUAUGCGAGGCACCGUAGUGUGCUGGGCACAGGCCCCAUCCAGUUUGAGGCAUGGAGUAGCGUGGCAUGGGGGUCAGCAGCACAGACUCUGAGCCCCGCUGGCUGGUUUCAAACCCCUGCCGGGUGACCUUGGCUAAUUUGCUAAAUCCACCUGCACCCUGCAGGUGUUUCACAGAGAUGGUACUAUCUUCACCCUCAUCAUUAAGAGAAUCCUACAUCCCAAUAAAACACUUAGAAUUCAAGGCAUGGAGGGAGCCCUCGGCAGAGCCUUAAGGCAGAAACCGGAGCGGAGAGCAGAAGGAGGAAGCACAGAGCAUGGGCUCGAAUUCAAGAUCUUUGGCCAAAAUGGAGGAAGGAAGAGAAAGCAGUAACUAGAGGGGGAAGUGAGGGCAAGGAAGAUUUUUUUUUUUUUUUAAGAUGGGCGAGAUCCUAAAUGCUGCCGGGAGGAAAUAGUGGAGUGGGAGAGGCUGAAGCCAAAUCACUGAUGAUCUGUUCUUUCCCCUAAAGGUGCCCAGGUGGCAGAGAGGAAGGUUCCAGGGCAGAGGUGGAGGGUCUGGCUUUAGCUGGGAAGCCACUUCCGCUCAUGUGCUGGAGGGGAGGAGUUUACUGCGGUGUGGCUGCAGGUGCAGCCUCGGCCAGGGAGGAGGAGUGUCACCAUACCACCUGUGGUGGAGGGGAGGGGAGGGGAGAAGGGGCUGGCGGGAGGUCUGAGGACAGAGGACAAGUCGUGACUUUAUUUUAAAGAGGGGACAGGCAGUGAUCAGAGCAGGUGACAAGAUUGCCAGAGAUCAUUCAGGGCUCAUGACUUUAUAGGGAUUCUGAUCUGCCUGGUUGGGAAACUUCGGGAGGUCAUCAGAGCUCCCGGGGCAAGAAAUGCAUCUAAAGAAGGGGCGGCGAGGGGCGCCUGGGUGGCUCGGUCGGUUAAGCGUCCGACUUGGGCUCAGGUCACGAUCUCACAGCUCAUGAGUUCAAGCCCCACAUCAGGCUCAGCGCUGACAGCUCAGAGCUUGGAGCCUGCUUUGGAUUCUGCGUCCCCCUUUCUCUUUCUGCCCCUCCCUCGUUCAUGCUCUGUCUCUCAAAAAUAAACAUUAAAAAAAAUAUUAGAAAGAAGGGGCGGUGGGUGCUGAGUGAAGUCAGGAAGAACGGGACGGACAGGCGACCGCUGGAUUUGCCAACCGACCGGUCGCUGCUCAAGCAGUGUCUUGAGGGUCACUAUAGCGUCAGAGCACAUGACACAUGACAGAGAAGAAAAGAAAGAAAGAAGAGCAAGGCAGUAAACUACCCGCGAUCCAAGAACUGACGCUGAAAUGAAGGGGAAAGUAAGACAUUAACCAGAGAAAGAGUAAAAUGAGGCAUAUUUUUCUUUCUAAAAGUCAGGAAAGGUACAUAUAUUAUAUACAUAUAUAUACAUAUUUUACAUACUUAUACAUAUAUAUAAUUUUUUAAGGCAGCUAUUGUAGGUGCUGGCAGGAGAGGGAGGAACAAGGUCCCAGGUCCCAGAGGUAUGAUCAAGCAUAAUAUGGUAAUAAACAGCUCCUCUGGGCCAGGUGUUUUCCAUAAGACCAUGUUACCACCCCCCCAUACAGAGGCUCAGAGAAGUUAAAGGCUCCCCUUGGGUCGGGGAGAAACAGAGUCUCGAAGUUAUUCACCCCAAAUCACACUGCUAGCGUGUGACAGAGCCAGGAUUUAAACCCAGGUCAUAUGACUCCAAAGUGCCAACGCUUACUGACCCUACACCACAGACAGGAAGAAAAGCUGAGACUCCUGAAGAGGAGGAGUUAUUUCUGCCAGCGCUGAGGAAAGGAAAAGACUUGGAAGAGAUGUGUGUGCUUGAGAUUUGUGUUUAUUUAGAAUUCUUCUCCUUCCCACUCACAUGGAGAAGCAUAGAAGCAUAUGGACUUUUAAAGUUGGCACGAUUGAAAAAGCCUCGCUUUAUACAUAGAGGAAAACUUGAGCCAGAGAACUGAGCCGACCUUUCUGUAGCGAGAGAAUUCGUUGGCUGUGGCCAAGAAAGUUACAGUUGAAGACCCAGGACAGUUGUGUGACCAACUGAUUCACCCAACCCUCUACCCAGGUGGUUGCUUCGUGGAAGAAGCGAUCCUCCCUUAAUUCGGGAGAACGGAGGGGAAACAGUUUGCAUAUGUUGACAGGCUGUUUAUUACAGUUACCGACUUGAGGCAUUUUGUGGUGUCUUUUUCAUCUAUCAAUAUUUUCUGAUAGGUGAUUUCAAAGUAACUGCCUAAAGGACAGACCUUGUUUCUUUUUGCCGAACUUCCACACGCGAGGAACACGGAGAAAACCAAAAACAAACCAGAGCCCAGAGGGAAGUGUGUAGAGUUAUGUUCAGGUCGCAAGUCAGGGCCAGAGACAGAAACUGAGAGCUGUGGUAAGUAUCUGGGCAAACAGGACCCAAGGUCAGGACACAGGGAGCAGACCCUGCUGCCUCACCACAGUGCUAGCCCCAGAGGUCACACCAAAGGCAGUGGAGAAAACGCCAGGGUUCAAAGGCAUCUAGCAAACCAGGAAAGCACUGAAAAAAACAGCUCUGAGCAGAAAGGAGGUAGCCGCCCGACCCCGCUUGCAAACUAACCUCUAUAUGCCCACAAAUGCAAUUUAACGAAAAAGGUUUUUUUAAUGUUUAUUUUUGAGACAGAGAGCAUGAGUGGGAGAGGGUAGAGAAAGAGGGAAACAAGCUCCAGGCUGAAGCAGGCUCCAGGCUCUGAGCUAUCAGCACAGAGCCCAACACGGGACUUGAACCCAGACUGUGAGAUCAUGACCUGAGCCCAAGUCAGAUGCUUAACCUACUGAGCUACCCAGGCACCCCCACAAACGCAAUUUUAAAUCAUCUAGAAGCCCUAUUAAAACCAGUGAAAAGAAACAAGUGAAAUCAAAUUUAAUAUAUUUUCUUUAACUUAAUAUAUCAGAAUUACUAUUAUUUCAACUUGUAAUCAAUAUGACCAAUAGUUUAAAUUCCUUUUGUCAUGCUAACUCCUCAAGAUCCAGAAUGUGCCUUGUACUAGUACAUCUCAAUCCAAACUAGCCCCUCUUUGAGUGCUCAGUGACCCAUGUGGCUACUGGCCUUUGUGUCAAUGAACACAGGGUUAGAGAAAACCAUACUUAACAUUCUGGCAUUGACAUAUUUUGCCUAUAUCGUGUUUUUUUUUUCUUUUACCUUUCUUUCCUUUAAAACAUGUUGAAUUUGGGAAGGGCUGGGUUUUUUCUAAGUCUAUAUAAUUUGAGAGAUAGGGAACAUGCACAAGUUGGGGAGGGGCAGAGAGCGAGAGGGAGAGAGCGAGAAUCCCAAGUAGGCUCUGCACCAUCGGCAAGGAGCUAGAUGUAGGGCUUAAACUCACGAACCGUAAGGCUGUGACCAGAGCUGAAGUUAGAUGCUUAGCCACAUAACUGACUGAGCCACCCAGGCACCCCAGGGCUGGAUUUUUAAGGAAGUGGGAGAAAACUUAGAUCCUGAGAGUCUCUAGUUUGAAAAUUUUUUUUAAUGUUUAUUUUUGAGAGAGAGCAUGCGUGAGCAGGGGAGAGACAGAGAAGGAGGGAGUCACAGAAUCCGAAGCAGGCUCCAGGCUCUGAGCUGUCAGCACAAAGCUGGACACGGGGCUCAAGCUCACGAACCAUGAGAUGGUGACCUGAGCUGAAGUCAGACGCUUAACAGCCACCCAGGCGCCCUUCUAGUUUGAAAUUUUAAAUGUUUCCAUUAUGGCUCUCCUAAUCCAUUUCCAUCCUAUCCUUGAGAGAUGACUUGUUUUUUUUUUUUUUUUAAGCCCCAUGGUGCAGAGAACUCCUUAGAAAGAUAAAAAGACAGGAAAUGUCAUGCAGGUGGAUACCUGCUACCAAGCAUUCAUUCCUUCUGUUCAUUCACUUGUUCAUAUUCGUUCUUAACAGUUACUACACAUCAACUAUAGGUCAGGGACUGUGCCUGGGGUUAGUCUUCCAGGCAUAGUCCCUGGCUUGUGAGAGAGACAGUUUAGCAGAAAACCCAGAGAAAACAUUACAGUAAAAUGUACUAAGUGUUGGGGCUCCUGGGUGGCUCAGUCGGUUAAGCAUCCGACUUCGGCUCAGGUCACGAUCUCGUAGUUUGUGAGUUCAAGCCCCGCGUCGGGCUCUGUGCUGAUGGCUUGGAGCCUGGAGCCUGCUUCGGAUUCUGUGUCUCCCUCUCUCUCUGCCCCUCCCCCACUCAUGCUCUGUCUUUCUGUGUCUCAAAAAUAAAGAAACAUUAAAAAAAAAUUUUUUUUUGACGUAGUGAGCAUUGUGAUAGGGGAAGUAUGAGGAUCUGAGUGGCCGCCUGGGAGAAUAAUGGACUCCAUCUCCGGAGAUAAGGGAAGGCUUCAGGGGUGGAGGAAAGAAGGAAGAUUGAAGGAACAACAGGUAAGCAACAGGGAGAAGGGAGGGCUGAAAAAUGCUCGGGACUGAAAGAGCAGCUGUAGGGAAGGCCCAGAGGCCUUUUGUGGAACCGAAAGCGGUUCCCUGUGGCUGGGACCUCUGGGGUGAGAGGGGACACUGGCAUCAGGCAUUACUCCUUGGGGCUGUGCGGUUAAUGGUGGGAGCUACGAGGCAGGAUGUUGACAAAUUGGGAAUAGGCCGGCCCAAGACAGGAAGUACUCCUCCCUGAAAAUAUUCCUUCACCAGUUCAGUUCAAGUUCACUGGUUACACACUCAAAUGGGUUAAUGAGCUAUUCUUUCUUUCUUCUUCUUUUUUUUUUACUCUUUGUUUUUUCAAUUCCAGUAUAGUUAACAUACAGUGUGAUAUUAAUUUCAGGUGUGCAAUAGAGUGAUUCAAUACUUUCAUCCAUCACUCAGUGCUCAUCAUGAUACGUGUACUCUUUUUUUUCUUUUAAGUUUAUUUAUUUACUUAGAGAGCGAACAGGGUAAGGGCAGAGAGAGGGAGAGAGAGAAUCACAAGCAGACUCCACAUGGACAGUGUGGAGCCCAAUGCGAGGCUUGAACUCACGAACUGUGAGAUUACAAUCUGAGCCAAAACCCAGAGUUGAACGCUUAACCAACUGAGCCAUCUAAGCACCCCUCUUUUUUUUUAAUGUUUAUUUAUUUAUUUUGAGAGAGAGAGAAAGAGAAUCUUAAGCAGGCUCUGUGCUAACAGUGCAGAGCCCGACACAGGACUCGAUCUCACAAACCAUGAGAUCAUGACCUGAACAGAAAUCAAGAGUUGGAUACCUAACUGAGCCACACGAUACACGUACUCUUAAUCUCCUUAACUAUUUCCCCCACCCCUGCCACCCCCCUCCCCUCUGGUGACCACCCGUUUAUUCUCUACAGUGAAGAGUCUGUUUUCUGGUGAGCUGUUCUUUAUAAAAGCAAGAGUCUCUCAUACAGCGAUUACUCUCUUUUCAGAUUAUGUCAGGCUAUGAAGACUUCUUCUUGAUUCAGAAAACUGAACACGGUUGAAGUUCCGUGUAAUAGAAGUCAUAUAAAAGUGCAUAUAAAAUACAGGCGUGGAACAAUGAACGGGUGUUAGCUCUGCCCCGGAGAGGUCUGGGUAGGCUUCCCACAACAGAUGACACUUAAACAGGGUCUGGAAGAAGAAGAAGCAUAGUCAGGCCUCCAAAUGGACGGACGUUCUGAUAAUGACAACAGUAUUUACUAAGUGUCAGGAACUAUUUUUGUGGUUUACAUUCUAAGCUUACUCUACCUCCAAAAUAAUAAUAAUAUAAUAAUAAUAAUAAUAAUAAUAAUAAUAAAACACUAGAUACCACCAUCCCUGUUUACAGGUGAAGAAACUGAGGCACAGAGAUGUAAAGACCCUCUAACGUGACUUGUCUAGAGUCACACUGUUUGGAAGGGGUAUAGCGUGGCUCCAGAGUUUACCUCAUUAACCAACCCCCCUCCCAUCGUAUUUGAACAUGCCUGGAUUAUAGGGUGAGGGAUUAGCAAGGAACGUCAGAUCAAACCGGUGAGGGAAGCAGUGGCCGCAUCAGGCAGAGUUUCAGCAGCAGCCCCUUGAAGACAGGUUACAUAGCAGCCUUUAGGUAAAUGGUGUUUUUUUUUUUAUGACUUGAGUGCAUAUAUAAAUGAUUGCUAAUGAUCAUAUUUUUGAAUGUGGUUGCAUUAAGAAAACAUUAUAUCCAAAUCCAGGUUUACACAAACCACAUUUCCAGUGGUGAAUCACGGCCUCAACAGAUUCCCAUAGGAUCCUUUAAAACAUCAAGAGGAUGUAGGCAGGCCGGAUCGAAGGACGCAGAGUGGGUCCCGCAGGACCAGCCAAGAGGGUCUCUGGCUUUGUGCAGGAUAGAAAACAAACACAGGCCGGGAGGAAGUAAGAGCAGAGUUUACUGAAUAGCGUAAAUGACAGAGUAUAGCAGACGAAGGUCUGGGAGAGGCAGGAAGGAAAGGAGAGGGAGUCUCUUCCUCGCUUGGGUUUAGGGGUUUAGAUUGGAAAGGGGUCUGGGGCACAUGUUCCUUCAGGAAUCCAGGGAAGGGACCGCUCGAAGCCAAGUGCAGGUGGACAAUAGGUGUUAUUUCAUAAAUAACCGGAGGUAGGGGGUGUGGAUGCCACCAUGGGCUGAGGUUUGUUCGAAGCUAAUGUCCUGGAACGUGUUUGGGAUCCAGGCUUUUAGAUGUUAUCAGGCGUUUGGGGGCCUAGGACAAAACUCAGAAAAUGAUUAACUUUCUUGCUUCCCUCUCCGAGUGGGAACACAGCUUCUUUGGUUGAUUCGGACGCAAGGUGAGAUAUAGAACAUGAAUAAAUAGGGGCUAGCAGAAAAACAGCAGAGGGAGAGCCUUUCUAAACAUGGAGUCCCUCUGGUUUCCCCAUGAUUAACUGUAAAACUGCAGAAGCUCCAAAGGCAGCUCAUCAGCGACGGAGGAGGUGUGAGCCCUCCUUAGACGAGAGGGGCUCAGGUCGUCCCCACACUCUCAAAUCUUCACCCGCAGGACCUCCACAGUCACAACACACGCUCUCCUAUCUGAGAACCAAUAGAACAAACAGCAAGCUCCCUUUCCUCGUUUAGCCAGGGCACAAUGGCCAAACAGGAAACUGGUGUCCCCCCACCCCUACCCCCACAGCAUAUACACGCCUACCAACUCAGAAGGCUGGCAUUUCCUUCUCCCAGCUGCCCCAGCAGCUGUCCAGGACUUUUUUAAAGAGAGCUCUCCAAAAGCCUCCCAGGGAGAUGUGACUGACUCUAGUAAUCUCUCUGCAUAGAAGGCACCUUUAAUUCGGGGGAAUGAGAUUUCUUCCCAACAGCCCAUGUUGCACAGAACCGCUGCAUCUUUUAAAACCAGGCUUUCUGAUGUCCAGAGCCACCAAGCAGAAAGUCUCCUCUCUUCAGCCCCUGACUUGACCUAGAAGAGGCUGGCUGGGUGUGUCCUUCCAGCAAACCCAGAGAGAUCCUUUCAGGAGGUGGCACCAGGGAAGAGCCAGGCCACACCGAAAAGUGUGGCCUGUGCACUGGUUUGUCUAGAUACUCCCAGACCACUUCCUAUCCUGACAGGGCUAUACAGGAACCUUCUCCUUCCACCCACCAUUUCCUUCAUUGGGAAGGUCGAGGAGAAACUGGUAAGAUCAUGGUUAUUUUGGGUGGUGGCCUCGGAGGGGGGCUCAAUCAGUUGAGCGUCCGACCUCGGCUCAGGUCACAAUCUCACGGUUUGUGGGUCAGAGCCCCACGUCGGGCUCUGUGCUGACAGCUCGGAGCCUGGAGCCUGCUUCGGAUUCUGUGUCUCCUUCUCUCUCUGCCCCUUCCCCACUCAUGCUCUCUGUCUCUCAAAAAUGAAUAAACGUUAAAAAAAAAUUUGUUUUAAAGAAAAAGUUUGCUGUUACAGAGCAAAGAGAACAAUCAGUAAUUACACCCAACGACAGAGAUUUUACAACAUAAUGUAGAACAAAAGCUGGAAGUAAAAGAUUCCAUUUAUACAAAGUUCAAGGGGCACCUGGGUGGCUCAGUCGGUUAAGCAUCCAACUUCAGCUCAGGUCACAAUCUCACGGUUUGUGGGUCGGAGCCCCACGUCGGGCUCUGUGCUGACAGCUCGGAGCCUGAAGCCUGCUUCGGAUUCUGUGUCUCCUGCUCUCUCUGCCCCUCCCCCAUUCAUGCUGUCUCUCUCUCUCUCUCAAAAAUAAAUACACAUUAAAAAAAAGAGAGAGAGUUAACUUGGGGCACAUAGCUGGCUCAGAUGGAAGACCAUGAGACUCUUGAUCUCAGGGUUGUGAGUUCGAGCCCCACUUUUGGUACAGAGAUUACUUAAAUAAAUAAAUACAAAUAAACUUAAAAAAAAAAAAAAGACUUAACUCAUUGGCCCAAAUCACACAGCUAGUGAGGGGUUGAUCUAUGAUUUAAAGCCAGGUGGGUCUAACUCAACUUCUAUAAGAAGAUGUUUCCUUCAGGCAGGCCGGCAGGCUAUAUAUGAAAGAAAAUACCGGCCAUGCCCUUGUGAUUGAUGGGGUCUAAAAGACUUUUAUGUUGGGAAGAUGUGCAGCCCAGUGAGGAGCGAACAUAGCAUGUCAGAGUCCCUCAUUUGGAAAAUUUAAUGCCUUAGGCUUUAUGUCUUCAUCUCCUCUGGAAUCAUCUGUCCUAAAUAUCUGAAUCAUUUUCAUAAGACACACUGUUUCCACUGUAACACUGCAGGGAAACUUCAUGAAGCGUUUCCAUACCCACCCAGUUUAUAUUAUUCUGUCUAGGUCCUGUUCCUCCUUACCGAUUCUUUUCAUCCCAAUUACUUGUUGCUCAGUCUGUCUGAGCAACAGACUCAAGACCGUAAGCUCCCAGGAAGAAAGCACCCCACACCUAACCCCAUUUCUGGUUUGUGAUGGACAUUAUGUUUCCCCUUCCACGUGUGAUGCCGGCCCAACUGUGGCCCAGUUGAAAGUCUCCUUUGACCAAAGUAGUGUCUGAAAGAUCCUUUCUCCUCUCUGACUUUCUAUAGAAUGUAUAGGCUGACCGUUAUGCCUUAACUUUUUGUUUCCUUUCUUUUUUUUUAAAUCUUUAUUUAUUUUUGAGAGAAAGAGAGAGAGAGAGAGCAUGCACACAAGCAGGGAAGGGGCAAAAAGACAGGCAGAAAGACACAGAAUCCUAAGCAGGCUCCAGGCUCUGAGCUGUCAGCACAGAGCCCGACAUGGGGCUCGGACCCACGACCCGUGAGAUCAUGACCUGAGCCAAAGUCAAACGCUUAACGGACUGAGCCACCCAGGGGCCCCUUGUUUCCUUUCUUAAAGAUACCUUUUAUUUUUACCUUUUUUUUUUUCCUGCUGCAAAUGAUACUGAAAGUUCUUCAAGGACUAGAACUAUGUCUUCUGCUUUUCACUUUGAUAAACCCUCUUUCAGCCUUGAGCACACGUUGUGAGCCAACAUCCCCAUCUAUCUGAGGGAAGGUGAUCUUAUCCUUAGAGUCUGGCUUGAUCCAUCUGUCUCUGGGUGAGCUGAGCCUCCCGGGCCUUAACAUCUCCAUUCAUCAUUUGACAAUUCUUUUGUGUGUUUAUUUCGCGUAAUAUUCUGGGGGUAAAAAGAUAGGUUAGAAGGCCCUUGCCCCCAGGAAACUCAUGGUCUGGUGAGAGCGACAGGUACAUAAUUAGAUGGUGAGUAUGCAGGUAGAAGUGCCAUGAAGGCUUCCGGGAGGACAUGAUGCACGAGCUCAACUUGAAAGGCGAGGAGGAAUAAAAAGUGUUGGGUGAGAUAGAAGACUUUUCAGGCGGAGGAAGCCGAGGACACAAAAGCAAGAGUAUGCAGCAUUCGGGGAAGUGCAUACUCUCAAUUGGGAGGAGAGUGAGACCAGAGGGAAAGGUAGGCAGGGGCCAGAGCACAAAGUGCCCUUUGUAGCAUGCUAAGGAAUUUGACCAUAUCCUGAAAGUCAGGAAGAUCUACUGAAAGGUUUUAUGUGAGGAAGUAACAUCAUCAAACUUACGGUUUGAAUAAAGGACCCUGGCUGCAGUGUGGAGAAGAGAUUGGAGUGAGGCAAGACAGGGGGGCAAGACUUCAGGCUGAAAGACUGGUUAGGGGUUCAUCGCAACCGUCAGGACGAGUAGAAUGAACCAAGGUAGUGACAGUGGAGUUGGAGAAAGUGGAUGAAUAAGAGAGAUAUUCAGAAAGUAGAAUAACAAGAUUGGUGACUAACUGGAUUUGGCAAGUGAGUGAGAAGGAAGAAUCAAGGAUGACAAUUAGAUUUCUUACUUUUGUGAUUGGGUGGUGCCCAAGAACAGGUCUUUUUUUUUUUUAAUGUUUAUUUAUUUUUGAGAGAGAGAGAGAGAGACAGAGAGCACGAGCUAGGGAGGGGCAGAGAGAGAGAGAGACACACAGAAUCUGCAGCACGCUUCAGGCUCUGAGCUGUCAGCACAGAGCCCAACGUGGGGCUCGAACUUAUAAACUGCGAGAUCAUGACCUGAGCCGAAGCCAGAUGCUUAACCUCCUGAGCCACCCAGGUGCCCCAAGAACAGGUCUUUUGUGGGAGAGUAGUGAGGAUGGGAAGAUGUGACAUUUGGUACACAGUGAGUUUGAAGUGUAUGUUGGACACCCAAGUGCAGAUGUCCAGAAGCAGUUGACAUAAAAAGUUGACAUCCAGGAGGAGAUCAGAGCUAUGGAUAUUGGAGAAGUGAAUGCAUAGAGAAGGUAAUUGGAGUCAUGAGAACAGAUAAAAUCACCCAGAGGCGUCGUAGGCUGAGAAGUGGUGCAGGAUUUCACCGUCGAAGGAGUAAGCUAAAGAGUCCAUGAAGGAGACUGAGAACAACAAGCCAGAGGGGCAGGAGGCAAACUGAACGGGGGACCCAACAGGCCGAAAGGCAUCUUAAAAGGUUAUUCUAUGGCGUUCAGUCACAGGAUGGGGGCAGAAACCAGGUUUCAGUGAAUUGAAGAAGAAUAUAGAUGAUGAAAGGAUAUGUGUAUCCCUUGAAAUUCAUCAAGCUGUAUGCAUACUGUUUCACGUUUUACUAUAGGUAAGUUAUACCUCCAUAAAGCAUUCGGCCUAAAAGUCUUUUAAGAUAUAUGUGAACAUGAUCAUAUACUAGGAAAAUAGAAAGUUAAGGGGAAGAAAUUGAGGGAGAGAAGGAGUGAUUAAGGGGGAAAAGUUUUGAGGAAGUGGAAGAGAUAAACUCUGGCCAGUGGAAAGAUUAGCUUUAGACAGGAGGAGGGAUGCCUCUUUCACUGACAGAGAAAAGAGGAGGAAGGGGUGUUUACGGAAGCAGAGAAGUUGGAUAGGGAGUAUGUUAGGAAGUCGAGUUUCUCUGUAAUACUUUCUUUUCUGCAUGAAACUGGACUCCAGAUGUGAUGGUUUAAAAAAUAUGCCCACAAAUUCUUUGAUACUCUUCCCUUCAAAAGUAGAACUUAAUUCCCCUUCCUUUGGGUCUGUACUGGACUCACUGAAUAGGGAAGAAAUGAUGCUAUGUCACUUCAGAGAUUAGGCUACAAAAAACACUGACUUUUGUUUUGAUAGAGCAACCAACCAUCCUGCUUUACCUGGGACCAAAGAUGCAGGAAUUUCAAUGCAAAAUCAGGAUGCGUUGGUGAUCCUGGUCUUGAGCUGGUUCUUUCUCUCUUAGAUCAUUUGCUCUGAUGGAAGCCAGCUGCCAUGUUGCAAGCUGCCCUAAAGAGAGGUCCCCAUGGCAAGAAGCUGAGGGAGAUCUCGAAUCAACAGCCAGCUGGGAACUGGGGCUUCAAUCCAAUAACCCAAGAACAAUUGAGACCUACCAACAGCCACAGGAGUGGAGCUUGGAAGCAGAACGUUCUUCAGUUAAGCCUUCAGAAGAGACUGCAGUCCCUCUGGACGGUUUGACUAUAACUUCAUGAGAGACUUUGAGUCCAAACCACCCAACCAUGAUGGCCCCAAAUUUCUGACCCAUAGAAAUUGUGAGAUAUUUGUUGUAAUUUUCUUUUUUUUUUUUAUUUUUUUUAAUGUUUAUUUAUUUUUGAGACAGAGGGAGACAGAGCAUGAACGGG